CGUGUUGUGUGUUUGGGCCGUGAAGUGUGAAGAAAUGUGUCGUCUCUAAUCCUGAUUUGCAGAGAAGAAACGAGAUCCUCUUCCCUCUUCGUGCGACGGUGACUCUAUGUCGUUUCCGCUUUCUCUUACCUUUUGAAACGGUUUGAGUAAAGAGCUCGUGUUUAAUCUCAUUGAUUCACCCAUCCACUACGUCAUCAUCAAUUCCCUUUUUCGAUCUCAAAGUCGGUGAUUUCAAUAUAAAUAAGUGGUUUUCUUCUCCGAUCUGAAGUCCGGCAACUGCUCCUCCGUCGUCAAGGCUAGGCUUCUGCGGUUUUGGGUCGAUAUGCUUCGUAUCUCUUUUGUUUCGUCAUGAAAAGCGUUUCAAGGAGUGUCCUCAUCCAGAUGAUAAGCAGAGGAACCAACUUAGCAGAGAAUAGGGUUUGGCUCCAAGGCAAAUCAAGUUCUGGUUCCAGAACAGAAGAAAGGCGCAACAUGAGAGACCAGAUAACAAUGCACUAAAGGCAGAGAACGACAAGAGUCGAUGUGAGAACAUAGCCAUUAAAGAAGCACUCAAGCAUGCUAUAUUCAAAGCACACAAGCAAGCAAGGACCCAAAUCACUCAAGAGAAAGGAAGGAGCGUUAAGCAGAUCAGAGCAGUGAACAUUUUGUUGGAAUUAAUUCUCUUUUUAAGUUUUAUUUUAUGGAGAAUUAUUUAUUUUUAAUUUUAAUGGUUUAGGAUAAUUACAAAGAAUAGAAGAAUCUGAAUGAUUUUAUGAUUUAUAUGUCCUAACCCCUAAUCUUACGUGUAGGUUCAGACUACGCCUUACGUUGGCGAGGCGGUAUGAAGCGACUCUAUAGCUUAGAGGCGAGCUUGACCUUCCCAUCGCCUCAAUGGUUGAAGCGCUUUUUUAAACCCAGAGCCCAAGAGAAAAUGUUAAAGACGGUUGGAUCCAGAUCGAUAGCUGCUAGGGGGAAGAAAGGUUCAGAAAUAACACGUAAGAAACUGUUGGAAUGAAAAACUUUAUAAAGAUGGAGAAAGUGUUUGUUUGAAGAGAAAGAAGUUUUGUGAAGAAGAAAUAUUAUAUAAUUUAGAAGA